rnacentral:tRNA from 2 species
GCCCGGCUAUCUCAAUCGGUAGAGCACGAGACUCUUAAUCUCGGGGUCGUGAGUUCGAGCCCCACGUUGGGCC